rnacentral:rRNA from 1 species
GACGAACGCUGGCGGCGUGCCUAAUACAUGCAAGUCGAACGCUUCUUUCCUCCGGGUUCCUGCCACCCAUUGGGAAGGGGGGUGGGCGGCGGGGGGGUAAAACCUUGGUAAACCACCCAAUAGAGGGGGAUAAAACUUGGGAAAAGGGUGUUAUACCGCAAAACCGGUUUAUGCCGAAUGGCUAAAGGGUGAAGGGCGCUUUGGGUGGUCGCGGUUGGUUGGACCCGCGGGGCAUUAGCUAGUUGGUGAGGUAACGGCUCACCAAGGCCACGAUGCAUAGCCGACCUGAGAGGGUGAUCGGCCACACUGGGACUGAGACACGGCCCAGACUCCUACGGGAGGCAGCAGUAGGGAAUCUUCGGCAAUGGACGAAAGUCUGACCGAGCAACGCCGCGUGAGUGAAGAAGGUUUUCGGAUCGUAAAACUCUGUUGUUAGAGAAGAACAAGGACGUUAGUAACUGAACGUCCCCUGACGGUAUCUAACCAGAAAGCCACGGCUAACUACGUG